rnacentral:rRNA from 1 species
CASGUAGGACUACCCGCUGAACUUAA